CGGGUGCGUAACGCGUAUGCAACCUACCUUCUUCAGGGGGAUAGCCUCUCGAAAGAGAGAUUAAGACCGCAUAAUAUGUUGAAACGGCAUCGUUUUAACAUCAAAUAUUUAUAGGAAGAAGAUGGGCAUGCGUGACAUUAGUUAGUUGGCGAGGUAACGGCUCACCAAGACAACGAUGUCUAGGGGAUCUGAGAGGAUGACCCCCCACACUGGUACUGAGAUACGGACCAG
rnacentral:rRNA from 1 species